rnacentral:rRNA from 1 species
GAUGAACGCUGGCGGCGUGCUUAACACAUGCAAGUCGAACGAUGAAGCCCAGCUUGCUGGGUGGAUUAGUGGCGAACGGGUGAGUAACACGUGAGUAACCUGCCCUUAACUCUGGGAUAAGCCUGGGAAACUGGGUCUAAUACCGGAUAGGAGCGUCCACCGCAUGGUGGGUGUUGGAAAGAUUUAUCGGUUUUGGAUGGACUCGCGGCCUAUCAGCUUGGUGGUGAGGUAAUGGCACACCAAGGCGACGAAGGGUAGCCGGCCUGAGAGGGUGACCGGCCACACUGGGACUGAGACACGGCCCAGACUCCUACGGGAGGCAGCAGUGGGGAAUAUUGCACAAUGGGCGAAAGCCUGAUGCAGCGACGCCGCGUGAGGGAUGACGGCCUUCGGGUUGUAAACCUCUUUCAGUAGGGAAGAAGCGAAAGUGACGGUACCUGCAGAAGAAGCACCGGCUAACUACGUGCCAGCAGCCGCAGUAA